rnacentral:rRNA from 1 species
UACGAAGGGGGCUAGCGUUGUUCGGAAUCACUGGGCGUAAAGCGCGCGUAGGCGGUUUUGCAAGCCAGAGGUGAAAUGCCUGAGCUCAACUUAGGAAUUGCCUUUGGGACUGCGAGGCUUUGAGGACUGGAGAGGUGAGUGGAAUUCCCAGUGUAGAGGUGAAAUUCGUAGAUAUUGGGAAGAACACCGGUGGCGAAGGCGGCUCACUGGCCAGUUUCUGACGCUGCAGCGCGAAAGCGUGGGGAUCAAACAGG